CGGUGUCGUAUCGGUGUUGGAC
rnacentral:miRNA from 1 species